UACAGGGGGUGCAAACGUUGCUCGGAAUUAUUGGGCGUAAAGCGCGCGUAGGCGGCUACCUAAGUCGGAUGUGAAAGCCCCUGGCUUAACUGGGGAAGUGCACCCGAAACUGGGUAGCUAGAGUACGAAAGAGGGUCGCGGAAUUCCCGGUGUAGAGGUGAAAUUCGUAGAUAUCGGGAGGAACACCGGUGGCGAAGGCGGCGACCUGGGUCGAUACUGACGCUGAGGCGCGAAAGCUAGGGGAGCAAACGGG
rnacentral:rRNA from 1 species